rnacentral:lncRNA from 1 species
UUGUUUUAGGAAGUAUAAUUACGUUCUUUCUGAUUUAGAAAAGCUGAUCCUCUAAGGCCUAUUUUUGCUCCAAUUCCUUUGGAAGAGCCCUUGUGAUUGGUGAGCCUAACUUGUGAGUUUUUAAUUCUUAUUUUGUUUUUAUAUCAAUGAAAAGGAAUUUUUUUUUUGCCCUUUGUGUUGGGUUGCGACUAUAAUUUUUGCACAAGAGGAUGAUUGAUCUUUUUUUUGCGAUGCCGUCCAUCCAUCGGAUUACGCUCUCUCAAAGCACUCAAACUUUAGUAUGCAUCUAUUUACACAGAUCUUGAAGCGAUAAUUGGACAAUUCAAUGGUGGUUUUGCAUAAAGGAAGGUGAAUCUUUCUUCCCUCCUGCGAAAGGUCAAGAUAUAAUCCUUGCCUCCCUGCGUUAUACUACCGUUUCCCUGAGCAUGUGCACGUGGCAGUUUACUAGUUCACAAGAAAAGAAAUGAAUCUACUUCCCUGCCUACAUAGCUAAUGGCUCACAGGCUAUUAGAUUAAUAUAUUCAGCUUAAACCUUUGACUUUUGGCGCAAAUCAGCUAUGUCCUUUGAGACAGGACUCAUGUUAAAAUUGUUUGUAAUGUUCUUAGAGCGUUGGAGGAAGGCAUUAAGAAUCUUUUGCAACUUUUCUUCUCAGUUAUGACCAAACUUAUUUACCAAUGCAACGCCAACCUGGCACGCCCGCCGACGUUGGAUCAUCCACUGCACGG